rnacentral:rRNA from 1 species
CCCGCUGAACUUAAGCAUAUCAAUAAGCGGAGGAAAAGAAACCAACAGGGAUUGCCCUAGUAACUGCGAGUGAAGCGGCAACAGCUCAAAUUUGAAAUCUGGCUCUGUCAGGGCCCGAGAUGUGAUUUGUAGAGGUCGCUUGGGCGUUGGCAGCGGUAUAUGUUCCUUGUGACAGGACGCCACAGAGGGUGAGAAUCCUGUAUGUGGUCGCUUGUCUUCGCUGUGUAAAGCCCCUUCGACGAGUCGAGUUGUUUGGGAAUGCAGCUCAAAAUGGGUGGUAAAUUCCAUCUAAAGCUAAAUACAGGCGAGAGACCGAUAGCGAACAAGUACCGUGAGGGAAAGAUGAAAAGAACUUUGGAAAGAGAGUUAAACAGUAUGUGAAAUUGCUGAAAGGGAAACGCUUGAUGUCAGUCACGUUGGCUAGGGAUCAACCUUGCUUCUCGCUGGGUGUAUUUCCUAGUGGACGGGUCAGCAUCAGUUUCGGUCGCUGUACAAGGGCAAAGGGAACGUGGCACUCCUUGGAGUGUGUUAUAGCCUUUCGUCGUAUGCAGUGGUUGGGACUGAGGAACUCGGCACGAAAUCUAUUUUGUGCUUAGGAUGCUGGCAUAAUGGCCUUAAGCGACCCGUCUUGAAACACGG